rnacentral:rRNA from 1 species
GAUGAACGCUGGCGGCGUGCCUAAUACAUGCAAGUAGAACGCUGAAGGAGGAGCUUGCUCUUCUGGAUGAGUUGCGAACGGGUGAGUAACGCGUAGGUAACCUGCCUGGUAGCGGGGGAUAACUAUUGGAAACGAUAGCUAAUACCGCAUGACAACAGUUAUUGCAUGAUAACUGUUUAAAAGGGGCAACUGCUCCACUACCAGAUGGACCUGCGUUGUAUUAGCUAGUUGGUGAGGUAACGGCUCACCAAGGCGACGAUACAUAGCCGACCUGAGAGGGUGAUCAGCCACACUGGGACUGAGACACGGCCCAGACUCCUACGGGAGGCAGCAGUAGGGAAUCUUCGGCAAUGGACGGAAGUCUGACCGAGCAACGCCGCGUGAGUGAAGAAGGUUUUCGGAUCGUAAAGCUCUGUUGUAAGAGAAGAACGAGUGUGAGAGUGGAAAGUUCACACUGUGACGGUAUCUUACCAGAAAGGGACGGCUAACUACGUG